rnacentral:rRNA from 1 species
GAGUUUGAUCCUGGCUCAGAUUGAACGCUGGCGGCAGGCCUAACACAUGCAAGUCGAGCGGAUGAAGGGAGCUUACUCCUGGAUUCAGCGGCGGACGGGUGAGUAAUGCCUAGGAAUCUGCCUGGUAGUGGGGGAUAACGUCCGGAAACGGGCGCUAAUACCGCAUACGUCCUGAGGGAGAAAGUGGGGGAUCUUCGGACCUCACGCUAUCAGAUGAGCCUAGGUCGGAUUAGCUAGUUGGUGGGGUAAAGGCCUACCAAGGCGACGAUCCGUAACUGGUCUGAGAGGAUGGUCAGUCACACUGGAACUGAGACACGGUCCAGACUCCUACGGGAGGCAGCAGUGGGAAUAUUGGACAAUGGGCGAAAGCCUGAUCCAGCCAUGCCGCGUGUGUGAAGAAGGUCUUCGGAUUGUAAAGCACUUUAAGUUGGGAGGAAGGGCAGUAAGUUAAUACCUUGCUGUUUUGACGUUACCAACAGAAUAAGCGCCGGCUAACUUCGUGCCAGCCGCCGCA